UCAAGCUAAUAAGAGCAUAAGGCGGAUGCCUUGGCAACAGGAGCCGAAGAAGGACGUGACAAGCUGCGAUAAGCUGCGGGGAGGUGCAAAUAACCCUUGAUCCGCAGAUGUCCGAAUGGGGGAACCCACAUACAGUAAUGUGUAUGUACCGUAUGGUGAAUAAAUAGCCAUACAGGAGGUGACCCGGUGAACUGAAACAUCUAAGUAGCCGGAGGAAGAGAAAGAAACAUCGAUCCCCUGAGUAGCGGCGAGCGAAAGGGGAAGAGCCCAAACCAUGCUACGGCAUGGGGUUGUGGACCAUCACAAGUCACAGAUCAUCAUAACCGAAUACAACUGGAAAGUUGAACCGCAGAAGGUAAAGGUCCUGUAGGUGAAAUGAUGAGACGGACGGAUGGCACCAGAGUAGCACCGGACACGUGAAACCCGGUGUGAAGCAGGGAGGACCGCCUCCCAAGGCUAAAUACUACCUGUUGACCGAUAGAGAACAGUACCGUGAGGGAAAGGUGAAAAGAACCCCGGGAGGGGAGUGAAAUAGAACCUGAAACCCUGCACUUACAAGCUGUGGGAGCACAUUACUUGUGUGACCGCGUACUUUUUGUAGAACGGGCCAACGAGUUACGUUAAGUAGCAAGGUUAAGCACUUAAGGUGUGGAGCCGUAGCGAAAGCGAGUCUUAAAUGGGCGAUUAAGUUACUUGGCGUAGACCCGAAACCGGGCGACCUAUCCAUGAGCAGGUUGAAGCGAAAGUAAAAUUUCGUGGAGGACCGAACCCACGAGCGUUGAAAAGCUCGGGGAUGACUUGUGGAUAGCGGAGAAAUUCCAAUCGAACCCGGAGAUAGCUGGUUCUCCCCGAAAUAGCUUUAGGGCUAGCCUCAAGCGUAGAGAAACGGAGGUAGAGCACUGAAUGUCCUAGGGGGUAUUGCACUUACCGAAGACUAUCAAACUCCGAAUGCCGUUUUCUUUUACUUGGGAGUCAGACUGUGGGUGAUAAGAUUCAUAGUCAAAAGGGCAACAGCCCAGAUCGUCAGCUAAGGUCCCUAAAUGUACGUUAAGUGGUAAAGGAUGUGGGAUUGCACAGACAACCAGGAUGUUGGCUUAGAAGCAGCCACUCAUUUAAAGAGUGCGUAAUAGCUCACUGGUCGAGUGAUCCUGCGCCGAAAAUUUCCGGGGCUAAAACGUACUACCGAAGCUACGGCAUCAUUUAUGAUGGGUAGGGGAGCUUCGUAUGCAGGCUGAAGCAUGACCGUAAGGACAUGUGGACAGUAUACGAGUGAGAAUGUUGGCAUGAGUAGCGAGACGUGGGUGAGAAUCCCACGGGCCGUAAACCCAAGGUUUCCAGGGGAAGGUUCGUCCGCCCUGGGUUAGUCGGGACCUAAGCCGAGGCCGAAAGGCGUAGGUGAUGGACAACAGGUUGAUAUUCCUGUACCGCCAAUAAGCGUUUGAGAGAUGGAGUGACACAGUAGGAUAAGCUAACCGUACUGUUGGUUAUGUACGGCUAAGCAUUGAGGCAGUCUAAAUAGGCAAAUCCGUUUAGACAAUGCUAGGAUGUGAUGGGGAAGCCCUUCGGGGCGAAGUAGCUGAUUUCACACUGUCAAGAAAAGCUUCUAUCGAGUUUAAAGGCGCCCGUACCGUAAACCGACACAGGUGGGUGAGGAGAGUAUCCUAAGGCCAGCGAGAGAACUAUUGUUAAGGAACUCGGCAAAAUGACCCCGUAACUUAGGGAGAAGGGGUGCCUGUCUAUGACAGGCCGCAGAGAAUAGGCCCAAGCGACUGUUUACCAAAAACACAGGUUUCUGCUAAGUCGCAAGACGAUGUAUAGGAGCUGACGCCUGCCCGGUGCUGGAAGGUUAAGGGGAUCUGUUAGAGCAAUCGAAGCAGUGAACUUAAGCCCCAGUAAACGGCGGCCGUAACUAUAACGGUCCUAAGGUAGCGAAAUUCCUUGUCGGGUAAGUUCCGACCCGC
rnacentral:rRNA from 1 species